GACGAACGCUGGCGGCGUGCCUAAUACAUGCAAGUCGAGCGGACGGAUGGGAGCUUGCUCCCAGACCGUCAGCGGCGGCCGGGUGAGUAACACGUGGGCAACCUGCCUGUAAGGCUGGGAUAACUCCGGGAAACCGGGGCUAAUGCCGGAUAACUCUUACUCUCCCAUGAGGGAAAGCUGAAAUAUGGCAUCUCGCUAUCACUUACAGAUGUGCCCGCGGCGCAUUAGCUAGUUGGUGAGGGAACGGCUCACCAAGGCGACGAUGCGUAGCCGACCUGAGAGGGGGAUCGGCGACACUGGGACUGGGACACGGCCCAGACUCCUACGGGAGGCAGCAGUAGGGAAUUUUCGGCAAUGGACGAAAGUAUGACGGAGCAACGCCGCGUGAGUGAUGAAGGUAUUCGGGUCGUAAAACACUGUUGUCAGGGAAGAACAAGUACCGGAGUAACUGCCGGUGCCUUGACGGUACCUGAGCAGAAAGCCACGGCUAACUACGUG
rnacentral:rRNA from 1 species